UACGGGGGGGGCAAGCGUUGUUCGGAAUUACUGGACGUAAAGGGCUCGUAGGCGGCCAACUAAGUCAGACGUGAAAUCCCUCGGCUUAACCGGGGAACUGCAUCUGAUACUGGAUGGCUUGAGUUCGGGAGAGGGAUGCGGAAUUCCAGGUGUAGCGGUGAAAUGCGUAGAUAUCUGGAGGAACACCGGUGGCGAAGGCGGCAUCCUGGACCGACACUGACGCUGAGGAGCGAAAGCCAGGGGAGCAAACGGG
rnacentral:rRNA from 1 species